AUCACCCCCAAUAGAUUCCGCCUACAAGGCAAGCGACGCGCACCACGCAUUAGCUCAAUAAGUAACAUACAAACAAAGCUUGACAGCGCUCCUUCAGUUCUGACCAAGAUUCAGACCCGCGCGUAGUGUGGAAUAAUAAACUGUUAAAAAUCUUUUCCAACGAAAACAUAUGACAUUUUAAUGCCGUUUUGUGGUGUAAAGUGGUGUGGGAAGUCUUCUAAGACUUCAAACUUCCAAAAAGAUGGAAUUACUUUCCACCGGUUUCCGCAAUGCCCUGAAAGAAAAAGCAAAUGGAUAGAUGCAGCACAUCGUGGCGACCUUUGGU